GAACAACAAUCAAACAUUCAAACCCAUAAUUUAUCACAUAAAUUCAUCGCAAAAGGGACUUGUUAUUUGUUACUCUCCGAUGGACAACAAUUUAUUCUCCAUUUCACACUUUCAAUUUUUGGAUUUGAAGGUUGGAAGAACAUUCAAAUAAGAAAAUGGAUUUUCGGGUUCUUCUCUUUCACAACAAGAUUUGUGUAUUCUGAUUACUUACUCGAUCUCGCUAUAAAAUUCCGGGCUUUGACAUCAUCAUCUCCUUCCUCAACCACCAGCUGCAUCGUUACUUCCGGCACUGAUAUCCAGCAACCACCAGCAGAUCCGUGUUUGAAUAUUGGGUUUUAAGGUGAGAUGAGUUGGGGAUGAUUUUUGUUUCCCAAGUUUGGAUGAAGUUUACAAAAUAGGCAUGAUUUUCAUUUCCCAUACGGGAUGUGUUAGAUUUUGUAAAUUUUUGUUAGAUUUGGAUGAUUUUUUCUCUUGUUU
rnacentral:lncRNA from 1 species